GACGAACGCUGGCGGCGUGCUUAACACAUGCAAGUCGAACGGAAAGGCCCUGCUUUUGUGGGGUGCUCGAGUGGCGAACGGGUGAGUAACACGUGAGUAACCUGCCCUUGACUUUGGGAUAACUUCAGGAAACUGGGGCUAAUACCGGAUAGGAGCUCCUGCAGCAUGGUGGGGGUUGGAAAGUUUCGGCGGUUGGGGAUGGACUCGCGGCUUAUCAGCUUGUUGGUGGGGUAGUGGCUUACCAAGGCUUUGACGGGUAGCCGGCCUGAGAGGGUGACCGGCGACAUUGGGACUGAGAUACGGCCCAGAAUCCUACGGGAGGCAGCAGUGGGGAAUAUUGCACAAUGGGCGGAAGCCUGAUGCAGCAACGCCGCGUGCGGGAUGACGGCCUUCGGGUUGUAAACCGCUUCCGCCUGUGACGAAGCGUGAGUGACGGUAAUGGGUAAAGAAGCACCGGCUAACUACGUG
rnacentral:rRNA from 1 species